CUAAUACCGCAUAUGGUCUUCGGAUUAAAGGAUUUAUCCGCUUUGGGAGUGGCCCGCGUACGAUUAGAUUGUUGGUGAGGUAACGGCUCACCAAGUCGACGAUCGUUAACUGGUCUGAGAGGAUGAUCAGUCAGACUGGAACUGAGACACGGUCCAGACUCCUACGGGAGGCAGCAGUAAGGAAUCUUCCACAAUGGGCGAAAGCCUGAUGGAGCAACGCCGCGUGCAGGAUGAAGGCCCUCGGGUCGUAAACUGCUUUUAUGAGUGAAGAAUAUGACGGUAACUCAUGAAUAAGCACCGGCUAACUACGUG
rnacentral:rRNA from 1 species